AUUUUUAGAAUAAUAUAAAUAAAUAUCAAAAAUAUAAAAUAAGAAAAAAUAAAUACAAACAUAUUUAUUUUAUAUAUAAACAACAUAUUGGAAACAGGAACAGACUGGUAUUCAAAUUUAAAUGUGGAAAAAUUUAAAUGACGUUAGCAACAAUUUAUGUGGAAUUUUUUAUGUUUGCUACAUAGCCACUCUGGCACUAAUUGGAAAUUCUAUCUUCUCAAGUAAUGUACACUCCCAUGCAAAAAGUUUGUCAGGUAACAGGAAAAGGUUUGGCUAUCCAACAAUACACAACAAUACACGUAUUGCCACUAAUCACAUCAACAGCAGAGAGAUGCUGCUGUAAGUUGGACAAGCACCAUUACCAUUCCACAGUUUCCAUAGCUAUAGGGGAGAGAAGUUACUGUGGGAGAACUGAAAAUUUGAAACUUGGAAAAGUAUUACGAUUAUUUUGAAAGGAAGUCAGUGUUUAUUAUUUAAUUAUAGUGUACACAAUAUAAUAAAUACAUAACUAGAUACCGAAAAACAU
rnacentral:lncRNA from 1 species